rnacentral:rRNA from 1 species
UUCCGGUUGAUCCUGCCGGACCCGACUGCUAUCAGAGUGGGACUAAGCCAUGCGAGUCGACGUAGCAAUGCGUGGCGAACGGCUCAGUAACACGUAGUCAACAUGCCCAGGGGACGUGGAUAACCUCGGGAAACUGAGAAUAAACCACGAUAGGUCACGAUUUCUGGAAUGGAUCAUGGCAUAAAUCUACAUGGCCCCUGGAUUGGACUGCGGCCGAUCAGGCAGUUGGUGAGGUAAUGGCCCACCAAACCUAUAACCGGUACGGGCUCUGAGAGGAGAAGCCCGGAGACGGGCACUGAGACAAGGGCCCAGGCCCUAUGGGGCGCAGCAGGCGCGAAACCUCUGCAAUAGGCGAAAGCCUGACAGGGUUACUCUGAGUGAUUUCCGCUAAGGGGAUCUUUUGGCACCUCUAAAAAUGGUGCAGAAUAAGGGGUGGGCAAGUCUGGUGUCAGCCGCCGCGGUAAUACCAGCACCCCGAGUGGUCGGGACGAUUAUUGGGCCUAAAGCAUCCGUAGCCGGUUCUGCAAGUCUUCCGUUAAAUCCAGCCGCUCAACGGAUGGGCCGCGGAGGAUACUAUAGGACUAGGAGGCGGGAGAGGCAAGCGGUACUCAGUGGGUAGGGGUAAAAUCCUUUGAUCCAUUGAAGACCACCAGUGGCGAAGGCGGCUUGCCAGAACGCGCUCGACGGUGAGGGAUGAAAGCUGGGGGAGCAAACCGGAUUAGAUACCCGGGUAGUCCCAG